UGUGGGGAAGGAGUGGACUCUAGGGGUCCUACUAAUUGAGUUAAGGAAGCAAACUGUAUCAAUAUCAAUUGCUUUCUAGAUCGUUCUGCAACACGUUUGGAACAAAAUAAAAAUAUCUUCAUUUUGAAAUUCCAUUGGACUCGACUGGAGUAAUGUAUUAUAGGAAUCAUCCUCCUUCAAUCAAAGAGCUAUUUCAACGAUUCCCAUGUUUGUAGUUCGAAAGGAAGAGGAUCCCAGGAAAUUUAUUUGAACCUAAUUCUUCCUAAAUUUUCUAGUCCAAUCAACGGCCUCUUACUAGGUGAUACUGAGGAGGGCCGGACCCUUUUUUUAUUUGUUUCUUUCUUUACUGUUCAAAGAAGAAGUUUUUUGUUAAGUGUAUACGCACUUUGUAUGAGAAAGAAGGGAUAUAAACAUAAUGGUUGUCUAACGAGAUACUAUGCAGAAUAAGGUUGUCAGGUGGGUCACAUAUUGUGCAUUUACCGCUUUCGAAUUUUUAAAAUUGGAUUUAUACUUUAUUGACUUAUUUCAUAUCAUGGUUCAGGUGUUAAAAAUCAGUGAGGUUUACUCUUCUUUUUCGAUGCCUAUGGAACUACUGUCAAUGGUUUACUCAAUUACUUAUUGGGAAUGUUAAAAAAAAAAUUACUACGUGAUUUUUUGAAUAUGCCUAUAUCUAUCGCUUUUCCUUCAUUGAUUUGAUUCUUUCAAUAGAUACCGAGAUUCAUAUUGGAAAUAAAAAAUAUAGUAAUUCAAACUAUAAGACAUAAGAGUAAUUCAGAUUGAUCAGAACAAAUAGAUAUAGCAAAUAAAUGGAAUUGGAUGCUAUGUCACUCCCAUAUAUGGAAUUGAUAUUCACAUAUAUCAAGAUAAUAUUGUGGAUUGAUCUAUAGAUCCAUAUCAAAUGCAGCCUCUAUCUUUAUUUUAGUCCAGGGAGCAGCUACAAUCUAACUAAUAAAUAGUAUGGUAGAAAGAAAUAGAUGAAUCUUUCUACCAUACUAUCUAUCUAUUAGAAUACUGCCGAUUCUAGUCCACUCAUUUCAUUUAAGACAUGAAAUUGGAAUCUUUUUCAUUUUAUUUCGGCAAUUUUGGCUAAGAACUCAGAAGUCAAGUUUCAUUCAAAUUAGUUAAUAAUUAAUCGUUUUGACUGACUGUUUUUACGUAAAUGAUAAGUAGAAAAGCGGUAGGAACUAGAAUAAAUAGUGCAGUAGCAAUAAAUGCAAGAAUAUUUACUUCCAUAAUCUCAUCGGUUUUUUACUUCGCAAUAACUCGGGAUUUAAUCCCAUAGAGAUGAUAAAUCUUUGGCCUGUAAAUUCAAUGAAUGAAUAUUACCUCUCGAUGAUCUUGAAUCGGAUCAAUAUCAUGAAUAACAAUAUCUGAACUAUCAAAUCAAUUCGUCGUCGAGAAUUGAAUAGUAUAACAUAGGAAGUUCUUUUAUCCAUACCGCCCCAAACUUGGAUUCCUGACCCAAUCCAACCAAAAUUCCUUUAUUUAUCAUUUUUUAUCAUCUGUUCUUUUUUUCUCUCUAAUCUAUCUAGUUCCUUCUUGUACAAUCAUCUCAUGAAGUCUCAUCAAACAGCUCUUCCACUUUCAGUGGUCACAUAGUUACAAACCCAAACAAACAAUAAAAGCUAAAUGGAAAAAGAAAGGAAUUUAGAACUAAACUAUUUUUGACUUGGAAGACAAAGAAUUGUGAUAAAGAUGCGAUCGUAUAAAAUGAAUAUUCAUCAAAUUUACAAUUUUUCAAUUUGUUCUUUCAUCGAUGGGGCCUUAAAACAAAAUAAAAAUUCAGAAAAAUGAUUCAUUCCCCUUUCUAAGAGGAGUAGGAUCUUACCCAUCCUUUCUUCGUAGAUUAUUAGCCCCGGGACAUCUAUACCAAAAGCUCAGUGCGCAAUUUGUAUGAAAUCUAUUUUUCAACUUCAAACUAGUAAGUGAGGUUCCAUAAAUCCGUAUCUAGAAAAAUAAAUUAUUUUUUUUGUUUAUUUUGGAAAGUAUUUUCUUAUAUUCAAUUUUGUAUUGGAAAAGAAAAGAAUUCCUUUUGUGUAUGUGCGCCGAAAAAAGGUAUAGUACCCGAUUCCAUUACAUGCUUCGGUUUCAAUCAAAAAAGCCAACAUUUCUUGGAAUACUGACUAUAAUGCUACCAAUAAUUGUACUAAUCCAACCGCAUAUUACCCAAAGGAAAGAAAAAAGAAAUAAGGAUUUCCCCUUUGCUUUGACAAUGAAAUUCUGCCCCCCAUCCCCUUCAUAAAAAGAGAGAGAUUUAUAUUAGAUCCGUCGGGACUGGCGGGGCUCGAACCCACAGCUUUCGCCUUGACAGGGCAGUGCUCUGACCAAUUGAACUACAAUCCCAGGGAAAUACGGGAUCUAGCAGAAAAUUUGAUUCUUUUUUAUCUCCGGAUCGGGUAUUUCUAAAGUACAAAGGGGUUAUAUCAUCUCAUGGUGGAUUGUCAAAUUAUUGGGCCGAGCUGGAUUUGAAACAGCGUAGACAUAUUGCCAACGAAUUUAUAGUCCGUCCCCAUUAACUUCUUGGGUAUCGAGCCAGGAAGAAUCAAUUUUAGACUUAUUGGUAAUCCAAGAUCAACUUCCUUUCGUAGUACCCUACACCCAGGGGAAUUCAAAUCCCCGUUGCCUCCUUGAAAGAGAGAUGUCCUAAACCAUUAGAAUGGGGGCCCACUUGACCAACGGCCAUUAUACUAUGAUCAUAGUAUGAUUAGUUUUUUGAAAUUGUCAAUAUAAUCGAAUGAUUCUAUCCGAGGGAUCUUUCCCCCUUUCAGAAUUGCAUAGAAUUAUUUUUUAUUCUGAUGAAUUAUUUCAAUUGAAUUUAUUUUGAUUAUUUUAGUUUCGAUUAUUUUAGUAUUUAGAAUUUUAUUUCGAUUUCUUUCACUUUCAUUUAGUUCAUUGUUAAGACGAGAUAUCCUUAUCUCCAUCCCACCAAGACAGGAAAUCAACAAAUGAGAAAUCUAGUAAGAUCAAGCAGAAAAUUGUUUUUUAUCCAAGAAUUUAGUUCAAGAGACAAGUAGAAUCUCUUCAUUCCAUGAUUCGAUGAAAUAUCUUGAAUUUUAUGUUGAAUUGCUAGGUGUAUGUACAUGUAUCAAUCAAGUGAAUUUUGUUCUGGUGGGAUCAAUUCAAUAAAAGAAAAAAAGCAAUUCGAGUCGGUCUUGAAACACUUCAUUGCAUUUUCUCCUAGACUUCCUAGGUAAAUCCAUGAGCCACUAGACACUAUGUAUCUACUGCACGUAUUUAAUGCAUAUAUACUUAUGUUUAUAAUAUAUGUACAUAUAGAUAUUUUAUCCACAUAGUGAAUAAUUCCGGAAUUAAAUAAAAAAGGCCCUUUUAACUCAGUGGUAGAGUAACGCCAUGGUAAGGCGUAAGUCAUCGGUUCAAAUCCGAUAAGGGGCUUUGUAAAACUCCAAUCUAGUAUUCAUAUUUAAGGGGAGAAUUGUAUUUUGAUUUGUAAUAAAAAAAGUAACUAACUGGAUAAUACAUUAUCAUUAUACUUAGUUAUAAAGUUGAACAUUUGUUUAGUCAAUUUUCAUUAUUAUGAAUUUAUGAAUAAUGAAAAGUCACUUCUUGAAUCACCCACCGAAUAUUCCUAUUUUCCAUUAUACCAACCAAAUCCAUUUGAAAGGUUAGAAAUCAACAAAAGAAAAAGGAAGUGGACCUGACCUAUUGAAUCAUGACUAUAUUCGCUAUUCUGAUAUUAAAAUUCGAUAGAGAUGAAAUUGGAGCAGUUGAUUUUUUUUUUAUUUCAUUUUUUUGUUUUGGACUGCACAAGAAUUUGUCGAUAUUUCCGAUUAAAUCUUCUUGUUACUAGAUUUUCUAUAGGAAAAAUUAUAGGAAUAAAUUGUUAUUCCUUUCCUCUACAGAUAAACCUUUCUUCCAAGUCACACCAUAAGAGCCAUUUAUUAUCUUUCUUUGAUUCUAGAUCAAAGAUUAAUUUCUAUCUAGAUUAUAUAUCUAUAUUAAGUAGAUUGUAGAUUUCGAUGUAUAUCUAUCAGAUCGUGGCUUCAUGUAACAAAUAUUUCAAUAUCGUUGCAUCCGGUAUUUUUGUUUUGUUCCAACAGUGUGAUGAAGAAUAGAUCCGAGAAAGAGACUUUCAUUUCCAGUCUCCUAGUUAUUUUAUUUAUUUUAUUGAAUUUUAGAUUUGCUAAAGGGAAAAAUAGUAGAUUAUCUCUUUUUCUAACAGACAAAAGAAUCUAAAAAUAAAUAUUUUCUCAAACUUUAUUUUUUCUUUCGAUCCGUGGAAAGAUAUACUCUGGGGUUUUAGAUAUAUUUAUAUGAAGUAUGAAGGAAAGGGACCAUUUGGUCCUUGAAGAGUUCUUUCAAAACAAGGGAUUGAUUGAAUUGUCUUAAUAAGAUAAUUCAUGGUUCAUAUGCUUAGUCAGAAGAAAUAAUCCAAUGGAGUUCAUGGAUUUACCUAGGUCAGUUUAUGGGCUAAUCAAUAAAGGAUUUUUAUCUUCGAAACCUAUUGGAAAGAGCAGUGCAAGAGAAAUCAUACAAAAAUGAUCAAAUCUUUAGACGCCCCAAAAAAGAUAUGAGGUGCUCGAAAAUGGUCGAAGUAGUUGAAUAGGAGGAUCGCUAUGACUAUAGCCAUUGGUAAGUUUACCAAAGAAGAAAAUGAUUUAUUUGAUAUUAUGAAUGAUUGGUUACGAAGGGACCAUUUCGUUUUUGUAGGCUGGUCUGGUCUAUUGCUCUUUCCUUGGGCCUAUUUUGCUUUAGGGGGUUGUUUCACAGGUACAACCUUUGUAACUUCAUGGUAUACCCAUGGAUUGGCCAGUUCUUAUUUGGAAGGAUGCAAUUUCUAAACUGUCGCAAUUUCUACUCCUGCCAAUAGUUUAGCACAUUCGUUGUUGUUAUUAUAGGGUCCUGAAGUACAAGGAGAUUUUACUCGUUGGUGUCAAUUGGGGGGUCUGUGUACUUUUGUUGCUCUCCACGGAGCUUUUGUCCUAAUAGGUUUCAUGUUACGUCAAUUCGAGCUUGCUCGAGCUGUUCAAUUGAGACCUUAU
rnacentral:lncRNA from 1 species